rnacentral:rRNA from 1 species
AUGGAGGGGGAUAACUACUGGAAACGGUAGCUAAUACCGCAUAACGUCGCAAGACCAAAGAGGGGGACCUUCGGGCCUCUUGCCAUCGGAUGUGCCCAGAUGGGAUUAGCUAGUAGGUGGGGUAACGGCUCACCUAGGCGACGAUCCCUAGCUGGUCUGAGAGGAUGACCAGCCACACUGGAACUGAGACACGGUCCAGACUCCUACGGGAGGCAGCAGUGGGGAAUAUUGCACAAUGGGCGCAAGCCUGAUGCAGCCAUGCCGCGUGUAUGAAGAAGGCCUUCGGGUUGUAAAGUACUUUCAGCGGGGAGGAAGGGAGUAAAGUUAAUACCUUUGCUCAUUGACGUUACCCGCAGAAGAAGCACCGGCUAACUCCGUGCCAGCAGCCGCGGUAAUACGGAGGGUGCAAGCGUUAAUCGGAAUUACUGGGCGUAAAGCGCACGCAGGCGGAUUGUUAAGUCAGAUGUGAAAUCCCCCCGG